rnacentral:tRNA from 1 species
CCCGCCGUAGUUCAAUGGACAGAACGGCCGCCUCCUAAGUGGCAGAUACAGGUUCGAUUCCUGUCGGCGGGACCA